CUUCCAGCAUCUGCGGUUAACGUUCGACGUCUUGACAAAGAACUCGUCUCGAUAUGGCGCUUCUAAUUUUGCAGCAUCGCACGCGAGCACAAGUACGAUGUUAUUGCGGAAGUGCCGCGCGCGCACAAGUUUAAUUUCUGCCAUUGGCUCCGAGGCAAAAUUGACUUUGACGAAUGAUAGUUGCCCGCCGCGGGCUGUAUCGAGAAUGUUGUGACGUUAAUGCGAAGUUGAUGUUCGAUAAGCCGAUCUCUGUAGAUAUUUAAUUUGUGCCUUGUAAGCGAGUAGAUCGAGUCGGUGAAGGGAUUAACUUUGUCAAACCGAUUGUCUGUAUUUUUUGGUAACGUCGCUAUAUGAUAAUGAUAUUAAAGCAGAGAUGCUUUUUUUGAACUCGUCGUGGCAAAUAAACGGCCAAGUAACGCCGUUGCUUUCGGACAAAGAGUGAUCGCAUCGACAGGUGAACUCAUGUAUUAGAAAGCUGUAAACCUGUAGACUUCGGAAUAUCAAAUAAAAUCUAACGUGUUAUACUACCGUUGGCUCGUAAGUA